rnacentral:lncRNA from 1 species
CCGGCCUUUAGUUGGUGGCCUUCAGUGGGUGGCUUAAGUUGGUGGCAUUUGGUUGCCUUUCCUGGGGAGAGGCGGCAGGUGCUCAGCUCUGCAGACGUGGGGGCAAGAGAAGGCCCAAGCUGCCUCGAGAAGAGCAGAGGUGCCCCAUGGGGACCAUGAUGACCGGUCGCAUGUGCCAAAGCCAGCCCCCGGCAGGGCCAGCGCAGGGUUUCUGCGGGGCCGUCCUGUGGCUCUGAUAUCUAUGAGUGGGUGGCCAGCAAAGGCACAGGCACCAGCAGAAAGGAGCAGAGAUGCCCAGAACAUGCUGUCCCCCAAUGCCAGCCCCAAGCGAGGCCAGCUUAGGGUGCGGUGGGCAGAGCCAUCCUGCAGCUCUGAGAUCCACGAAGUGGAGGUGGGAGUAGCGCCAGGCUCCACGGCGUUGGAGCUCUCACAACUUGAGCUCAAUUUUAUUCCGGAGCCAUGACCUGCAGCACAUUGGUGACCAGAAGACGCCCAAAGGCAUUGUGUGAUCAAAGCAAAAUAAAUAUGUUCUUGUUUCUGGAAUUACUAAAGCUUUGAAAAUGGACUUAUCGACCUCAAACCAAUGGGACAUAUUCCUACAUGGCCUUCUCCCCUGUUAGGGUUCCCAGGGUAUGUCUUUAAUGUCUGGUUUAAUAGAAGAAGACUUGGUUCUCCUUUCUGCUUCUAUGUUUAAUUUCUUGUGACAUCCCACGUCAGGUAGCUGGGAAACUCCAAUUAUACUUGUGAGAGAAUGAAAGUGGAAAAGGUAAACAAAACCUGUGUAUUUUUAUGAAAAGACUUUUGCCCUUGCAGAGCCCCUGGAAGGGACUCAGGGACUUCUCAGGGUUCUCUGGCUCAUGUGUUCAUAGAGUAGAGGGUAAGUCCGCAAGAGAAAGCAGUGAUUGGCUGUGGGAGGUCUUGCUGAGAGGUGGUAGAAAAGAGGUUGGAUGUGGAGAAAGUAUGGUCCUUGUUUUCAUUUCUUUUCCCUUUCCUUUGGCCUCUUGUUGCUGGGAUUUCCUCUUUAGAUGACCGUAUCAUAAAUUAGAAACAGCAUUAAUGAACAUUCUUGAUACUGCCUAAUGAAAGUUUUUGUUUUGUCUUCCUGAGUCUUGAUACAUUUCAAGAAGUCUUCUAUCUCAUUUAUUUUUCCCACCCAAAUUUGGAAUUUAGGAAGAGUCGAUAUAGCUAUAUUUAGAUGAUUUAUCUCCCUGAAGACAUUUUGGGAUCAUUUAUAAAUCUCUAUAAAUAAUGCUCUGAUGUCCCUGUAUUUUGUUUAGAGACUGGGUCUUGCCGUGUUGUCUGGAGUGGAGUGGCUCGAGCGUAGCUCACAAUACACAAUACAAUCAAACUCCUGGGCUCAAAGUGAUCCUUCCACUCAGCCUCCACAGUAGCUAGGUCUGCAGGUGUGUGCCAGCACGCCUAGCUUUUGAUUACUAUUAUCAUUUUUGUAGAAAUGGGGGUUUCAUUAUGCUGCCCAGGCUGGUUUUCCGACUCUUGGCCUCAAGUGAUCCUCCUGCCUUCCGUCAUCUGAGGAGCUGAGAUUACAGGUGUAAGCCACCAUGCUGGUCCUGAUGUCAUUUAAAUACAAACAUGAUACUAUAUUCCUUGUAGAAAGUGCUACAUAAAUAUAAUUUUUUUGAAAUAGGGUCUUGCUGUGUCACCCAGGCUGGAAUGCAGUGGUAUGAUCACACUCACUGCAGCCUGGACCUACUGGGCUUAAGCAAUCCUCCCACCUCAGCCUUCCAAGUAGCUGGCUCCUGAGUUAUGAGCCACUAAGCCCAGAGAAUUUUUCAAUUUUUGGUAAAGAUCGGCGUGUCACUGUGUUGUCCAGGCUGGUCUUGAACUCUUAGGCUCAAGUUACCCUCCGCCCAGGUGUCCCAAAGUGCUGGGAUUACAGGCCUGAACCACUGCACCGGGUCCUAAAAAUUCAUUCACUUUCUUUUUUUGUCCACAAGGUACU